rnacentral:piRNA from 1 species
UGCCCAUGGCCACAUUCUGCUGUUUGC